GACGAACGCUGGCGGCGUGCUUAACACAUGCAAGUCGAACGGAAAGGCCCUGCUUUUGUGGGGUGCUCGAGUGGCGAACGGGUGAGUAACACGUGAGUAACCUGCCCUUGACUUUGGGAUAACUUCAGGAAACUGGGGCUAAUACCGGAUAGGAGCUCCUGCUGCAUGGUGGGGGUUGGAAAGUUUCGGCGGUUGGGGAUGGACUCGCGGCUUAUCAGCUUGUUGGUGGGGUAGUGGCUUACCAAGGCUUUGACGGGUAGCCGGCCUGAGAGGGUGACCGGCCACAUUGGGACUGAGAUACGGCCCAGACUCCUACGGGAGGCAGCAGUGGGGAAUAUUGCACAAUGGACGGAAGCCUGAUGCAGCAACGCCGCGUGCGGGAUGAUGGCCUUCGGGUUGUAAACCGCUUUCGCCUGUGACGAAGCGUGAGGGACGGUAAUGGGUAAAGAAGCACCGGCUAACUACGUG
rnacentral:rRNA from 1 species